CGGCCACUCUAUCUCCAUAUAUCUCGAGGAGCCUACUAAAAUUCCUCGUUCCACUUUUUGUUUUUCCUUUUCAAAUCCCUAAACACUAAAACCUCUUUUCAAAUCCCACAACUAAAAGUCCUUGCUUGUCUAAUCUCUGAAUUUUAAAAGUAAAGGAGAAUUAGAAAUCAGCCAUGAGUUCACGAGGAGCUGCUAGCGUUUUGCUCUCAAGGGCAAACAGGAUCAAGCAGAAGUUACAAUCUUCACUGGAAGCAAGUAUUCUAGAAGUAGAAGACGUGUCAUACCAACACGCUGGUCAUGCUGCUGUUAAAGAUAAUGCAGAAGAAACCCAUUUUAAUGUGAAGAUUGUCUCAUCCAAAUUUGAUGGGCAGAGUCUUGUGAAGCGUCAUAGGAUGGUUUAUGAAUUGCUGAACGACGAACUUCAAUCAGGGUUGCACGCAAUCUCAAUUGUGGCUAAAACUCCACAAGAAACUGGUAGAGGUUAAAGCUUUAACCAAAAACUAUCAAGAAAGAACUCAUAUCGUGUUUGCUCAAUCACCUGAUAUUUUGUGCAAUUCAGUAUAUCCAAUUGUUAAAGAGUUAAACAAUGGAAUUGUCUGUUUUGUUUAAUACAGUGCUUAAAACCUUCAUUCAUAUCUCUCUUUGUGACUCUGUCUUCGUUUUCCUUUUUAUGUUAUAAGGCAGUUCACAGUA